AACUCAUCCCUCCAAACUUCUUCAUAAUGACACCCCACUUCUUAAUUAUCACUAUGCUGGCCACCUUCUCCAAAGGAGGCUUCUCCCAGGUAGUCCUGACCCAGUCAGAUCCAGUGCUGAAGAAACCAGGAGAAUCCCAAAAACUGACUUGUGCUGUCACUGGAUUUAAUGUUAACAGCUACUGGAUGGGUUGGGUCAGACAGAAAGCUGGACAAGGAUUGGAGUGGCUUCUUCUCUAUUAUGAUGAGAGUAAUAGCAAGUAUUAUGCACCAACAAUCCAAGGGCGUUUUUCUGCCUCCAAGGAUAGUUCCAACUUCUUUCUGCAAAUGAACAACCUCAAAGCUGAAGACACGGCUGUGUAUUAUUGUGCAAGAUACACAGUGAAAGGAAUCCUAGGAGAUCUCAUGCAAAAACUCCUCCUGAGACUUGCUGAGACAGAGAGAUUAUUCACCCAUACUUAUUAUGGUUGA